AUUGAACGCUGGCGGCAGGCCUAACACAUGCAAGUCGAGCGGAUGAAGGGAGCUUGCUCCUGGAUUCAGCGGCGGACGGGUGAGUAAUGCCUAGGAAUCUGCCUGGUAGUGGGGGAUAACGUCCGGAAACGGGCGCUAAUACCGCAUACGUCCUGAGGGAGAAAGUGGGGGAUCGUCGGACCUCACGCUAUCAGAUGAGCCUAGGUCGGAUUAGCUAGUUGGUGGGGUAAAGGCCUACCAAGGCGACGAUCCGUAACUGGUCUGAGAGGAUGAUCAGUCACACUGGAACUGAGACACGGUCCAGACUCCUACGGGAGGCAGCAGUGGGGAAUAUUGGACAAAGGGCGAAAGCCUGAUCCAGCCAUGCCGCGUGUGUGAAGAAGGUCUUCGGAUUGUAAAGCACUUUAAGUUGGGAGGAAGGGCAGUAAGUUAAUACCUUGCUGUUUUGACGUUACCAACAGAAUAAGCACCGGCUAACUUCGUG
rnacentral:rRNA from 1 species